CCCUUAGAUGUUCUGGGCCGCACGCGCGCUACACUGAUGCAUUCAACGAGUUUCUUCCUGGUCCGAGAGGAAUGGGUAACCUUUUGAAGUGCAUCGUGAUAGGGAUAGACUAUUGCAAUUAUUGGUCUUCAACGAGGAAUUCCUAGUAGACGUAGUUCAUCAGACUGCAUCGAUUACGUCCCUGCCCUUUGUACACACCGCCCGUCGCUCCUACCGAUUGAAUGCUCAGGUGAGCCAUUCGGACUUUCAUCAUGCUGGUUUCCAGUUUUGAUGAAGGAAAGUCUUGCGAACCUUAUCAUUUAGAGGAAGGAGAAGUCGUAACA
rnacentral:rRNA from 1 species